GGCUAAGCUAUUAAGAGCGAACGGUGGAUGCCUUGGCGUCAAGAGGCGAUGAAAGACGUGGCAAGCUGCGAUAAGCUUCGGGGAGCUGCUAAACAAGCUUUGAUCCGGAGAUUUCUGAAUGGGGAAACCCGUCUCGGGUAGUGUCGAGACAUCUGUAGCUGAAUACAUAGGCUACAGAGGCGAACGAGGUGAACUGAAACAUCUAAGUAACCUCAGGAAAAGAAAACAAUAGUGAUUUCCAAAGUAGCGGCGAGCGAAAUGGAAACAGCCCAAACCAAAUAUAUGUUAAAGCCCGAAAGCGUUGUAUAUUUGGUGUCGUGGGGUUCGAUCGGACGGAGUUUCGGAUCUGUCGGGAAGUUACAAAUCUGAUUUAUAACUGAAGAGUCUGGAAAGUCUCACCAGAGAGGGUGAUAGUCCCGUAAGUAAAAUAUAUCAGACUUCCUGGAUCGAAUACCCAAGUACCGCGGGACACGUGGAACCCUGUGGGAAUUUGGGAGGACCAUCUCCUAAGGCUAAAUACUACUUGGCGACCGAUAGUGAACAAGUACCGUGAGGGAAAGGUGAAAAGUACUCCGGUGAGGAGAGUGAAAUAGUACCUGAAACCGUUUGCUUACAAGCAGUGGGAGGGCUAUGAAUAUUGUUAUGGUUUACCUUAGCAUUAUUCAGCCUGACUGCGUGCCUUUUGCAUAAUGAGUCAGUGAGUUACUUUACGUAGCGAGGUUAAGCCGUUAGGUGUAGCCGAAGCGAAAGCGAGUCUUAAUAGGGCGUAUUAGUUGCGUGGAGUAGACCCGAAACCAAGUGAUCUAUCCAUGGCCAGAGUGAAGCGCAAGUAAAAUUGCGUGGAGGCUCGAACCGGUGUAGGUUGAAAACUGCUCGGAUGAGCUGUGGAUAGGGGUGAAAGGCCAAACAAACUUGGAAAUAGCUGGUUCUCCCCGAAAUAUAUUUAGGUAUAGCCUUGCAAAUUAAGUAACGGGGGUAGAGCACUGGAUGGGCUAGGGGUCUUACCGGAUUACCAAACCUAACCAAACUCCGAAUACCGUUAACUUUUAUUGCAGGAGUCAGACUACGGGAGCUAAGUUCCGUGGUCGAGAGGGAAACAGCCCAGAUCGCCAGCUAAGGUCCCUAAAUAUGCGCUAAGUGGGAAAGGAUGUGGAAGUGCACAGACAACCAGGAGGUUGGCUUAGAAGCAGCCAUCCUUUAAAGAAAGCGUAACAGCUCACUGGUCGAGUGAGUCUGCGCCGAAAAUGUAACGGGGCUAAAGCGUAUUACCGAAGCUGCGGGAUCCGCUAUAUGCGGAUCGGUAGGGGAGCAUUCUGUUUGGGUUGAAGGUCGAUCGUAAGGACGGCUGGACUAAACAGAAGAGAUCAUGCUGACAUAAGUAACGAUAAAGCGGGUGAAAAACCCGCUCGCCGAAAACCUAAGGUUUCCUGAGUAAAGCUAAUCUGCUCAGGGUUAGUCGAUCCCUAAGCCGAGGCCGAAAGGCGUAGGUAAUGGAAAACAGGUUAAUAUUCCUGUACCACCGAGUUAUCAAUAUCCCUUCGGGGGUGAGAGUGAUGGGGGGACGCAGAAGGGUAGGUCAUCCAUCUGUUGGAUUAGAUGGUUCAAGCUUGUAGGCUGAAAGGAUAGGCAAAUCCGUCCUUUUAUUUAAAAGCCGAGAAGUGAUGAGGAGUCCGCUUGCGGGCAUAAACUGAUUGAUCCCAUACUGCCAAGAAAAGCCUCUAGCGAGAUAACUAGGUGAUCGUACCGCAAACCGACACAGGUAGGUAGGGAGAGAAUCCCAAGGCGCUUGAGAGAACCCUGGUUAAGGAACUCGGCAAAAUAACACCGUAACCUCGGGAGAAGGUGUGCCCUCAUUAGGUAAAGCAAACUGAUUUUAUUAUCGGGCAUGUGGAGCUGAGGGGGGCCGCAGAGAAAUGGCGGUAGCGACUGUUUACUAAAAACAUAGGACUCUGCUAAGUCGCAAGACGAUGUAUAGGGUCUGACGCCUGCCCGGUGCUGGAAGGUUAAGGGGACUUGUUAUCUGUCUUCGGACGGAAAAGCUCGGAACCGAAGCCCCAGUAAACGGCGGCCGUAACUAUAACGGUCCUAAGGUAGCGAAAUUCCUUGUCGGGUAAGUUCCGACCUGCACGAAUGGCGUAACGACUUCCGCACUGUCUCAACCAGGGACUCAGUGAAAUUGUAUUGGCGGUGAAGAUGCCGUCUACCCGCGAAAAGACGGAAAGACCCCGGCACCUUUACUACAGCUUGACAUUGAAUUUUGGAAUAACAUGUGUAGGAUAGGUGGGAGGCUUUGAAGCCGGAACGCUAGUUUCGGUGGAGCCACCCUUGAAAUACCACCCUUGUUAUUUUAGGGUUCUAAUUUCGACCCGUUAUCCGGGCGAAAGACAGUGUCUGGUGGGUAGUUUGACUGGGGCGGUCGCCUCCCAAAGAGUAACGGAGGCGCGCGAAGGUUCCCUCAGGCUGAUUGGAAACCAGCCGUGGAGUGUAAAGGCAUAAGGGAGCUUGACUGCGAGAGAGACAUUUCGAGCAGGUACGAAAGUAGGUCUUAGUGAUCCGGCGGUCCCGUAUGGAAGGGCCGUCGCUCAACGGAUAAAAGGUACGCCGGGGAUAACAGGCUUAUCGCCCCCAAGAGUUCACAUCGACGGGGCGGUUUGGCACCUCGAUGUCGGCUCAUCACAUCCUGGGGCUGGAGCAGGUCCCAAGGGUUUGGCUGUUCGCCAAUUAAAGUGGUACGUGAGCUGGGUUUAAAACGUCGUGAGACAGUUUGGUCCCUAUCUUUCGUGGGCGCAGGAUAUUUGAGAGGAUCUGUUCCUAGUACGAGAGGACCGGAAUGGACGAACCAAUGGUGUUCCAGUUGUCGCGCCAGCGGCAUUGCUGGGUAGCUAAGUUCGGAAUGGAUAACCGCUGAAAGCAUCUAAGCGGGAAGCCAACCUCGAGAUUAGAUAUCCCUCUGUAUGGAGACAUACAGACUGAAGACCCCUUGAAGACUACAAGGUUGAUAGGCCAGGUGUGUAAGUCCGGUAACGGAUUUAGCUAACUGGUACUAAUAGGUCGUGAGGCUUAGUCAC
rnacentral:rRNA from 1 species